GGAGGAUAGCCCGGGGAAACUCGGAUUAAUACUCCAUAAGAUUUUGAUUGGCAUCGAUUAGAAUUGAAAGAUUUAUUGGAUAAGGAUAGGCAUGCGUCAGAUUAGUUAGUUGGUAGUGUAACGGACUACCAAGGCGAUGAUCUGUAGGGGGCCUGAGAGGGUGAACCCCCACACUGGUACUGAGACACGGACCAGACUCCUACGGGAGGCAGCAGUGAGGAAUAUUGGACAAUGGAGGGAACUCUGAUCCAGCCAUCCCGCGUGCAGGAAGACGGCCCUAUGGGUUGUAAACUGCUUUUGUAUGGGGAUAAAUCUACUUACGUGUAGGUAGUUGAAGGUACCAUACGAAUAAGCAUCGGCUAACUCCGUGCCAGCAGCCGCGGUAAUACGGAGGAUGCAAGCGUUAUCCGGAUUCAUUGGGUUUAAAGGGUCCGUAGGCGGGCUGAUAAGUCAGUGGUGAAAUUUUGUCGCUCAACGAUAAAACUGCCAUUGAUACUGUUAGUCUUGAGUGAUAUUGAAGUAGCUGGAAUGUGUAGUGUAGCGGUGAAAUGCAUAGAUAUUACACAGAACACCGAUUGCGAAGGCAGGUUACUAAGUAUUAACUGACGCUGAAGGACGAAAGCGUGGGGAGC
rnacentral:rRNA from 1 species